GUGGUGUCUCCAGGGAAACAGCCAUGGUGACAAGCUCAUGGCACUGUGGUGAGGACCUCCUGACACCAUCCAGGGGCAGCAGACUGGCCCAAGUGAGGAGGAGCCUGAGUGCAGCAGCCCUGCAGAAGGGUCCCUGAGUGUGAAGGUGUGGCUCCACUGAGUCCCCUGCCUGGCAACGUGGCCCGGAGAAGGUCGCAUACACCCAAGGGAUCCCAACCUGGCUAUAUCUCACAUCCAUCUGCAAACAUCGCCCACCCAGGCCACACCCCUCACCAGUCACGCUUGAUUUCAGUAUCUUUAAAGGGGACCACUAUGGGUUUUAAGGCCACGCCUGUCUGUCCGGAACCAGAAGGAAACUCCGGAUACCACAGCUGAGCCUGACCACCCCAUGCAAAGUAGACCUUAAGGAAGAGGUGAGACGAGCCUCCUGUUCGAGAGGGUGCAGCACACACGUCCUCAGUCCAGAGGAGUUUGCCAAGUGGUCUUCCUUCAACUCUCUGCAUCCUCCUGCUCUUGAUCACAGUCCUGUGACUUGUCACUGGUUUAUUCCUGUGCCCGACGUAUCUCCAGACUGGAGACCUCCCGACUGGAGGGUAGGGCAGCCUAGGGGGGCUGAACAAGAAGGGUGGGGACCAGACGGGGUGGGGAGGCUGUGGAGGUGAGCAAGGCAAGUGGUGCCCCAAGCCAUGAGUCCUGAGGUGAAGAGAGGCACUUUUCUUCCCAGAGCCUCUGGGAUCGGUGAGACAGGUCUGAUCUGCGUCUGGCUUCUGGCCCUGGCUCAGUGUUGUGACUGCAGGGGACCUUCAUCAUCAGCUGACAGUGGGGUCACGUCCUGGAGCUCAGAUAGCUGGGAGCCCCCACCCCCGCUGGGAUGAUGCCAUCGUCUUUAAUUGAGAGCCUCACACUUGACCAGGUGAGCCUCAGAUCAUCACGAGUGGAAGGCGUGUCAUUCCUGGUCUAAAAUUGUAUUUCCUCUUCUCAAAAAGCUGUUCAAGCUCUGUGGACCAACAGCUAUGUGAUCUUGGGCAAGCACAACCUCUCUGUACCUCAGCUUCUCAUCUAAGGAUGGCAAAGGAACCUUAGCUCCAGGAGUAUUUGGAGGCCUGAA